AUAGCGUAUAUUAAAGUUGUUGCAGUUAAAAAGCUCGUAGUUGGACUUCUGGGAGGGUGCCAAUGUCCGCUUGUUAGCGUGUGCAGCGGCGCCCUUCCAUCCUUCUGUUAACGAUUCUUGGUAUUCACUUACUGGUUUCGGGCUCAGAUAUUUUACCUUGAGAAAAUUAGAGUGUUUCAGGCAGGCUUGCGCCGGAAUACAUUAGCAUGGAAUAAUAGAAUAGGACUUCUGUCUCACAUUUGUUGGUUUGAGGGGCUGAAGUAAUGAUUAAUAGGGAUAGUUGGGGGCAUUAGUAUUCAAUUGUCAGAGGUGAAAUUCUUGGAUUUAUUGAAGACUAACUACUG
rnacentral:rRNA from 1 species